rnacentral:rRNA from 1 species
GAAACACGGACCAAGGAGUUCAACUGGAUUGCAAGUCGUAGAGAUUUUAUUAUAACACAAAACUCAAACGGCAUAGCGAAAGCAAAAUUGUGUGAUUUAUAUUUUUAUUUAUUUAAAAUAUAAUGCAACACAGACUGUUUAAGUACACUCAUAGAGUCUAACUCUGUGAUGUGCGUAUUUUAUUUUCACGAAUUUAAUACGAGUAAACAAGUUAAAGAGCACUUUAGUUGAGACCCGAAAGAUGGUGAACUAUUCUCGGACAUGGUGAAGCCAGGUGAAAACUUGGUGGAAGCUUGCGUUGUGCGGAACUGACGUGCAAAUCGUUGCCGCCUGAACUGAGUAUAGGGGCGAAAGACUCAUCGAACCAUCUAGUAGCUGGUUCCCUCCGAAGUUUCCCUCAGGUUAGCUCGAAUUUAUAUAAACAAAACAAUGAGUAACAUAAGGGUAAAGCAAUGAGACGCGGUAUCUGUGGGUCUUAUUUAAUGACCUCGGCCUUCUCUCAAACUUUAAAUCUGUGCGAUCACUGCAUUUUACUUUAACUUUAAUCGCACUUUUUGUGUUGAUUAUUUUUGAAAUUGCGUGUUGUAUCUAAAAUUCGUAGUGGGCCAGUACUGGUAAGCAGAACUGGCGAUGAGGGAUUCAACCUGACGUUUUCAAGAUAAGCCGGGCUUAAUCAUAUCUGCUCCAACCUUCCGAUAAACGCGA